rnacentral:rRNA from 1 species
UUGUAGCUGGCCUUUUAGGAGGCAUGUGCACACCCUGCUCUUCCAUUCU